GGGUUGUGAGGUUAAGCGACUAAGCGUACACGGUGGAUGCCCUGGCAGUCAGAGGCGAUGAAGGACGUGCUAAUCUGCGAUAAGCGCCGGUAAGGUGAUAUGAACCGUUAUAACCGGCGAUUUCCGAAUGGGGAAACCCAGUGUGACUCGUCACACUAUCAUUAACUGAAUCCAUAGGUUAAUGAGGCGAACCGGGGGAACUGAAACAUCUAAGUACCCCGAGGAAAAGAAAUCAACCGAGAUUCCCCCAGUAGCGGCGAGCGAACGGGGAGGAGCCCAGAGCCUGAAUCAGCAUGUGUGUUAGUGGAAGCGUCUGGAAAGGCGCGCGAUACAGGGUGACAGCCCCGUACACAAAAGCGCAUGUGCUGUGAGCUCGAUGAGUAGGGCGGGACACGUGGUAUCCUGUCUGAAUAUGGGGGGACCAUCCUCCAAGGCUAAAUACUCCUGACUGACCGAUAGUGAACCAGUACC
rnacentral:rRNA from 1 species